CCAAACCCAAUUUUAUUUUCCCUCUGUAACUCUCGCUCCUCUCAGACCUAUACCCCAAACCUCUCUGUAAGUCUCUCCCGAAACCCCAAAUGACUCCCUCUGUAAGUCUCUCUCCUCUCAGACCUCAAUCCCCAAACCCCAAACAUCUUGCAGACUAAAACCCAAAUCCCAAUCUUCGAAACCCCAAACACAGACGAUUCCUCCAAGCUCCUUCAAGCUCCAUCAUAGACGGCGUCUCCAAGCUCUCCUCUGAUCUUCCUCUCGGCAUUCUAUGACUAUCAAGUGUUGAGAUUGACGGUUCUUCAAAGCUUCAUCGGAAAUGUUCUUCCGAUCUUCCUCUCCAUCUAUGUCAAGGUUAAAGGCCUUCUACGUGGUAUUGCUAUCUUCUUUCUAGAUGGACUCAGGUUUGCUUUCUUGACCCUUUUCUUUUUUAUAAUUAAUUAUGUUUUAAUUUUGUUGUGGGUUUGCUUUCAUAACAGUUGAUUGCUUUUAUUUUCUCUUGGCAUCUCCUUUGUCACGAGUUGUUCAGACUUAAGAUCCUUUAGUGGGUAAGUCUUUUAUGAUCUUAGUUUUAAAUAUAAAUAUAUAUAUUUAUAUCAUAUAUAUUGUCUUUUGAUAUUAUAUGUGUUUGUGAGUCAAUUAUCAUACUUUUUUUUAUGGUUUAAUUAUUUAGUAUUUCUAAUCGUCUUUUAUUCUGUUUGUUGAAAUCAAUUUUUUAUUCUUUUUUUUAAUGUUGUAAUGAUGAUAAAUUGUAUAAGCAGAAAAAAUAUAAAAAAUCCCUUUCUACUAUAUUAUGUGUUUGCACCUUUGGUCUUAAGUGUAGCUUUAAAUGACUUAUAUCAAAUGAUAUCUAUAUUUACACAUGUUUUAGCUGACAAUUUUUAUUAUUUUUAA